AAAAGCGUUUGUCGAGAUUGAUAGGCCAAGUAUAGCGGAGUUUUCCGUGUUAUGGUUGAUGGUUGUUUUAAAACGAGCUUCCACUUUGGGUUUAAGUUAUACGAUGAAUGUUUCGUAUACUGUUUCCUUUAGUCGUAUAAAAUUGUUUCCUUUUUAUCCGAGGGAGACAAAUUUUAAGAGGCUCGACGCAGAACCCUUGUGGAUCUGGUUGCAAGGCGAUUUCCUGCUCAGAUGUAACCGAGGGAAGUAAAAAGUAGAAGUCAGCAAUCUUCAUGGAGCUUCGUUUUUAUCAUACGAAAAAUUAUCAAUGAUAGUUUUUCGGAAGACCCGUAAUGUCUAUUUCAAAAAAUUACUUCGUAUGACCUGAUUUGACUAUACGGGGGAUUUUUCGUGAAAGAAUUGUGAAGAGGGGCUUCUCAUAGGAGUAAAUGGAGAGUGUUUUUCGAAAAUUACUCGUGAAAUUUGUGAAGUUGUUUUGUAGUGACACUGGUCUUGUUUUCCCAUAGGCUGUUUCAUAUAAAAUAUUUUUGUUAUACGAAAAAUAAUGGGUGGCCAGUUUUACGAAGAUAGGAAAUCGAAAACUUCAAAGUUGCGAUGUUUCAGCGGAUUACACGGGGAACAUUUCUGUUUUGAUUUUGACCUUCAGUGAAAGUUUCUUGGAAUUACAGAUGGAGUUUUACCGAAGUCUAUUCCAUUACGAUAUAGUCGCUGACCGUCGUGUUAUUAGUCUGAUGUUGGUACAAGUUUUCUAAUCGCGAGAUUGCGACAAGAGAUGUUGUAGAGCUCUCAAGACGAUGUUAGCGAUAUUACGACAAGAGACGUUGUAGAGCUCUCCAGACCAUGUUCGUUGACGGUAGGGCUAUAUCGCUAGCGUUUUUGACGAAUCUUAGGUUGUCGUUUGCCUUUUUGGACAAUUUUAAUGAGGCAUCAGAUUGCAUAUGUGCUUUUUUGCCUGUUGCUGUGGGAGUUUGCUUUGUCAAAAGAGU
rnacentral:lncRNA from 1 species